GGCUUGUUAGCUCAGUUGGUAGAGCGAUGCACCAAUAUUGCAGAGGUCAUGGGUUCAAAUCCCCUAAGGGCCU